AAUUUUUGUCGUCAAGUCUCUUCUAAUAGUAAUAAUUAUUUGCUCAGUUCACAUAAUUAUUUAUCUGUCACUGGGUGUAUGAUUAUUGUCAUAUAUGAUUUAAUUACCAUAGUACUAAC
rnacentral:precursor_RNA from 12 species